rnacentral:rRNA from 1 species
GACGAACGCUGGCGGCGUGCUUAACACAUGCAAGUCGAACGAUGAAGGAGAGCUUGCUCUCCGGAUUAGUGGCGAACGGGUGAGUAACACGUGACUAACCUGCCCCUUUCUCUGGGAUAACGCUCCGAAAGGAGUGCUAAUACCGGAUACGAACUCUGCGCACAUGUUCGGAGUUGGAGAGCUUUUCGGAAAGGGAUGGAGUCGCGGCCUAUCAGCUUGUUGGUGAGGUAAUGGCUCACCAAGGCGACGACGGGUAGCCGGCCUGAGAGGGCGACCGGCCACACUGGGACUGAGACACGGCCCAGACUCCUACGGGAGGCAGCAGUGGGGAAUAUUGCACAAUGGGCGAAAGCCUGAUGCAGCGACGCCGCGUGAGGGAUGAAGGUCUUCGGAUUGUAAACCUCUUUCAGUAGGGACGAAGCGAAAGUGACGGUACCUAAAGAAGAAGCACCGGCUAACUACGUGCCAGCAGCCGCCGUAA